UUCUGAUUCACUAAAGUUUCUUUUCUCAAAAUAACACGUUGCGUAAGGAUGGGAAGACAAGGAAAACAAACGGACAGUCUGAAUACUACAGACCGUCCUCAUCACUUCAGAAAUACUGAAACUCAGAAGAGCAAGACACCUCAUAAAAACACUUGCCCCAAAAGCUGACAACCUGAAUUCUGCCUCUGGAACCACAUAAAGAAGGAUCCGAAUGUCCUGUGAGGUUCUUGCCGGCAAGACUAUCUCGCGGGACAUCUGGUGCCGAAACCCGGGAACUUGUUAACAUCGCCGGCACUGCGGAGACCCCUCGGACGAGGCGGAUUCAGAACUGCAGGGUGGUAAGUUCGGAGAGGUAUGCUUUAUUCUGACACCUUCUUUUUUGACUUUGCUUUUAAUUUGUCACCACUAUGGGAUGGAUCAGUAAAAGCCUUAAUUCUAGUCUUUAUUACAUUGGUCUUAUAUUGUGCCCACCGUGGCUGGUGUUCCAGUUCACGACCAAGCUUACCCCAGGUAGCCUCCAGCAUAAUGGGCUCUUCAAAACAGAGAGACCUAAUUAAAAACUGUCUAGAGAUUGAGGCUUGCUGUCCCAUGGUAGCAGAGAGUCAAAAAACGCUUAAAGAGGUACAGGAUAAUAUAUCAGAAACCGAACGAGAUGAGAGAUUAGGAGCUCAAAAAAGGAAGGACAUGUCUAAGGAAAAAGGCCCUCCCCAGGAUACAAAAAAGGGGGAGAGAAAAUAGGGAAUAACCGGUCACACCCCGGUAAAUUUAAGAGACCUGUUAAUCCAGCGGGUGUACUUCCAUCAGCACCCCCAUUAUUUGGUACCGACUCCUUUUUACCAUUAGAGGAGCGGAGGAAACUGCAGAUGGCUUUCCCAGUCUUUGACAGGGGAAAACCAAACAAAAGGAGGGAAUGGGAGCAUCCUUACCCUCGGUGCCAAGAGUUGCAAUAUCCAUGGCACUCUUUACCCUUAAUUUUCUAAACAUUGAUGCUCAGGGCCAUACUGCGGCCAAGCGUCACACCUCAGAACCUAAAAGGCCAAAGGAAAUGGUAAAAUGGAAAGAUAUCUUAACUGGUCUUUGGAGAGGCCCGGAUCCUAUUCUUAUAAGAUCCAGGGGAGCUAUAUGUGUUUUUCCACAGGACGAAGAGAAUCCCCUGUGGAUCCCGGAAAGACUCACCCAAAGAGCCCCUUCAGACACUCAGAAGUCGAAACUCCACCUUCUCCCCGGGAGUUGAGAGCCCUAUUAUCCAGAUUAACUCCAUGCACCUUGACCUGUCCUUGACGGAGGGAUUGUCAUCAUGGAUCGCUUCAGCUGUCUCCUAUUUUAAGGACUGGGUGGAGGGGUGGGACUUUUUGGCACAAUUCUCUGCAGUGGUGUGGUGUUUAUGCUUGGGACUGUGUGUAGACUCAAAACCCAAACAAAAAAGGUAAGGUAGUGGUUGCACAGGCACUUGCUGCCCUAGAGAAUGGAAUCUCCCCCGGCAAUUGUCUAAGCAUGUUGAGGCAAUAGGUCGCCGACUGCUCAGCUCCUGCAUCUCCGGAGGCUUGACCUCAUUGCACAGAAUAGAGUGAGCAAGGUUCGGCAGGUCAAAAGAGUUGUAAGGCUAAGCACUGCACAGAAAGGGCCUGCGGCUUUUCUUGUGGCUCUUCUGGGAGACAUGUCAUCUUGCAUGAAGGUUAUAUGUCAUAAUGCCCUUCCCCCAGAAAAAGACAUAAGGACGGGUCUGGGCCUGCUCUGGACACAGAGUCUGGAGUCCUGCUCAAGACAAGGUCUGCAUCCAGUUUUGGGGAGUUGACCUCUAUCUCCACUCUGCAUUUGGCUGGCCUAUAGCCUCUGUGUUUCUAUAUAAUUAUAUAGGGGGAGAUGUGAGGAGCCGCACUCACAUUCGCCAUUACAAGAUGGCGCUGACAUCCGCUGCCGGAUCAAGUAAACAACGUUGGUAUACAUGUGCCCAGUGUUUUUCCACUGCCUAGCCCUGCCUAUUCCAUGGCGUCAUAUAGGGUCAUGCACCUAUCCCAGCUGUACACGCAUCGCUCAGAGUUUGUGAGCCUUUAUAAGGGGACGGGAUUCUUGGCUCGGGGUCUCCGCUCUGGUAAGCUUAUGCUCUCCUCUCAAGACGCAUUAAAGCUUUACUGCAGAAGGAU
ensembl:lncRNA